rnacentral:tRNA from 1 species
GCCUCUAUAGCUCAAUUGGUAGAGGACUCGUGUAGUUAUAACGAGAGGUCUCCAGUUCAAUUCUGGGUGGAGGCA